rnacentral:rRNA from 1 species
AGGGCACCACCAGGAGUGGAGCCUGCGGCUUAAUUUGACUCAACACGGGAAAUCUCACCAGGCCCGGACACCGGAAGGAUUGACAGAUUGAGAGCUCUUUCUUGAUUCGGUGGGUGGUGGUGCAUGGCCGUUCUUAGUUGGUGGAGCGAUUUGUCUGGUUAAUUCCGAUAACGAACGAGACUCUGGCCUACUAACUAGAUGGAGGAUCCCUUCGUGGGUUCUUCACUGCUUCUUAGAGGGACGGGCGGCGUUUAGCCGCACGAGAUUGAGCAAUAACAGGUCUGUGAUGCCCUUAGAUGUUCUGGGCUGCACGCGCGCUACACUGAAGGAAUCAGCGUGUCCUCCCCGCUCUGAAAAGAGUGGGUAACCCGUUGAAACUCCUUCGUGAUGGGGAUUGGAGAUUGUAAUUAUUCUCCAUGAACGAGGAAUUCCCAGUAGGCGCGAGUCAUCAGCUUGCGUCGAUUACGUCCCUGCCCUUUGUACACACCGCCCGUCGCUACUACCGAUCGAGUGAUUUUA